rnacentral:rRNA from 1 species
CUGCUAUACAUGCAGUCGAGCGGACUUAGAAGAGAAGCUUGCUUCCUCUGAUGGUUAGCGGCGGACGGGUGAGUAACACGUAGGCAACCUGCCCUCAAGUUUGGGACAACUACCGGAAACGGUAGCUAAUACCGAAUAGUUGUUUUCUUCUCCUGAAGAGAACUGGAAAGACGGAGCAAUCUGUCACUUGGGGAUGGGCCUGCGGCGCAUUAGCUAGUUGGUGGGGUAACGGCUCACCAAGGCGACGAUGCGUAGCCGACCUGAGAGGGUGAUCGGCCACACUGGGACUGAGACACGGCCCAGACUCCUACGGGAGGCAGCAGUAGGGAAUCUUCCGCAAUGGGCGAAAGCCUGACGGAGCAAUGCCGCGUGAGUGAUGAAGGUUUUCGGAUCGUAAAGCUCUGUUGCCAGGGAAGAACGCUUGGGAGAGUAACUGCUCUCAAGGUGACGGUACCUGAGAAGAAAGCCCCGGCUAACUACGUGCCAGCAGCCGCGGUAAUACGUAGGGGGCA